rnacentral:rRNA from 1 species
GACGAACGCUGGCGGCGUGCUUAACACAUGCAAGUCGAACGCAGAAGCCGGAUUUUGCUUCUCUGGAUGAGUUGCGAACGGGUGAGUAACGCGUGGGUAACCUGCCUGGUAGUGGGGGAUAACUAUUGGAAACGAUAGCUAAUACCGCAUAAGAGCAGAUGUUGCAUGAGAUUUGCUUAAAAGUUGCAAUUGCAUCACUACCAGACGGACCUGCGGUGUAUUAGUUAGUUGGUGGGGUAACGGCUUAUUAAGGCGAGGAUACAUAGCCCACCGGAGAGGGUGGUCGGCCGCACUGGGAGUGGGACAGGGCCCAGGGGCCUACGGGAGGCAGCAGUAGGGAAUCGUCGGCAAUGGACGGGAGUCUGACCGAGCGAGGCGGCGUGAGUGGAGAAGGGUUUCUGGUCGUAAAGCUCGGUUGUAGGAGAAGAACGAGUGUGAGAGUGGAAAGUGCACACUGUGACGGUAUCUGGUAAAAAAGCACCGGCUAACUACGUG